rnacentral:rRNA from 1 species
GAUGAACGCUGGCGGCGUGCUUAACACAUGCAAGUCGAACGAAGCACUUUAACCUGAUUCUUCGGAUGAAGGUUUUUGUGACUGAGUGGCGGACGGGUGAGUAACGCGUGGGUAACCUGCCUCAUACAGGGGGAUAACAGUUAGAAAUGACUGCUAAUACCGCAUAAGACCACGGAGCCGCAUGGCUCGGUGGGGAAAACUCCGGUGGUAUGAGAUGGACCCGCGUCUGAUUAGGUAGUUGGUGGGGUAACGGCCUACCAAGCCAACGAUCAGUAGCCGACCUGAGAGGGUGACCGGCCACAUUGGGACUGAGACACGGCCCAAACUCCUACGGGAGGCAGCAGUGGGGAAUAUUGCACAAUGGGGGAAACCCUGAUGCAGCGACGCCGCGUGAGCGAAGAAGUAUUUCGGUAUGUAAAGCUCUAUCAGCAGGGAAGAAAAUGACGGUACCUGACUAAGAAGCACCGGCUAAAUACGUG